CCUAGCCACCGUGCUUCUACACCUGCAUUGCUUGCUGUUUGGGGUUUUAGGCUGGGUUUCUGUACAGCACUUUGAGAUAUCAGCUGAUGUACGGGUCUCUUUGUGUUCUUGUUUGUUUCUCUGUCCUCGACUCAUCCUAUCACAGGAGGCUUCUUCCUAGCUCACAAAUCAGGCUCAUGAUCAGUAAGCAUAAAAAUGUUUGAUCAUUUUAAAAACCAGGAGGUUACUACCUGAACUUGAACAUGUUUUUACUACCACAGGUGUAUUAGACACAAGAAUGACUGGGGAGCCCUCAUUCUGGUAGACGACCGGUUUGGGAACAACCCCAACAAAUACAUUUCAGGUCUGUACAAGUGGGUGCAUAACCUUUUCAGGCACCACAACGCCUUCAUCUGUGCUAUGCAGUCGCUGAUGACCUUCUCCAGGUGCCAACAGGGGGCAGGAGAGACCCAUGGAGCAGGGAGACAGAUGUUCAACAGCACCACCAUCCUGUUCAGCCAGUCAAUCUCUAGUGACUGUGGAAGAUCUGUCCCACUGUCGGCGCAGUCCUAGCCCCAGCUCAGACAGCCUUCUCUGGGCCACGAUGCACCACACUACCAUACUACCACCUCUCAGGUCCCAGAGCCCCACACCCAGCUACAGGGGGUCAGGUCCUGGGUUCCCCCUAUGGUCUCUGUCCCACCUGCUCUGUGGCCUCUGUCCACCAUCAGCCAUGGAAACACAGAUGAGAUGUAUAGAGAUGUAUUACAUUAGAUAAAUAAGUUAUGUCAGGGAAGUUGGUAGAUUGUCAGAGGUUUGAUUGGUGCAUAAAAACAUAUGAAAGCUUCAUCCAGAGCUCUUUACGUUAACUCCUUGUAUAAGUGGUUCCUAAUGAGUCCAUUGCAUCAGUCAGUCUUCCACAAAGAUCUCCCACUACCUCGACUACAUGACCUCACUGCAGACCAACAUCUGGUGUGUUCCUCUAUCUUGUUAUUCAUGAUGGGAUGGUAUAUGAACAGUCCUGUCCCAGUAAAGUGGAUGGGAACAGGGGAACAAUGUGUGAGGCUUUUUGGAUCUACUUCUCUGAUAAAUAAAUGUAAUGGAACAAGGAUGUUAGGGGUGUAGAGGAGCCGAUGCCGUUUCCUCCUGCAAGGGUUUCAUUUGACCAAUGUUCAGGAUUCUUUGCUUCGGUUUCAGUCAAAUCAUUUUACAUUUCUUCCUCUUUAGGAAUGUUAAGACAUGUUGAUGUACAAAACGUUGUGUAUAUAUGUUUUAGGUCUGUUUUGCUUCUGAUCCUACCCUCCGCUGUUUGUUACAGCAGAACCUCUUAUAGGUGUCAAGCUAAGUGAGCGUAAAUGCAGCGAGAUAUCAGGCUUCAUACGUUACCUUGGACCUCACUGAGGAUGGAUCCAUAGAAAAACAUGGGGUCUGAACCUAACGGAAUGAUAGUACUAUGAGGUCACUGGGUUUAUAAAUUAAGUGGAUACACUCCGUUCUAGAGCUCUAGUCUAUUGUCUGUCUCGUUACUUGGGUCGCUGUAAGGCUGAGCUGUUUGGUCAAUUGCGUUUUGAGGGGUGGGUGGGGGUGUCAGGAGCUGGAUCAGGUGGGGGGAGUUUGUAUGUGCACCAAUCUGUCUCAUUACUACGAGACCUUAUACAUGGCUGAGUGAUGCUGGGUUGGUCUGAGGCAAGCAGCUUGAUGAGCAGAUGUUAGACUGUUGCUUUAAAUAAAUCACAUUGACCAUUGUUUGUGUUAUAUUGAGCGUGAGACGGUGGUGGUGAUUUCUUCUCCACUGCACUGUUCUGGAUAAGAGUCAGAAAGACAUCCUUUGCCCACACCCCUAAACCACUAAACAUGUGCAGUGUACUGUACACUAACCUAGCUGUUACGGGCCCAGCAUAUAGGAUCCUUGAGGCCAAUGUCGGCAUCGUCAAUGUACUUUCCCCGUUAUUUUCUCACCUUUACUGUCAACACCUGAUGACUGCUCCAAUCAGCUCAUCUGAAUGUCUAAAUGUAUUAUAAGUCUUCAUACAACUGUGUUGUCUUUCCUUUCUAUGGUUUCCCAUAACGUGUGUAUUCUCUGUGGGCACGUGACCAGAAGCAGACACAGCAACACCCCUCCGCUCAUCUGAAGAGUGAUCCCAAGGCCCCUCCCCCACUGUCUCCACCACCCACGUCCCCUGCACCACCUCCACCCCUGUGAGCUCCACCCACUUCAAGACCCCCCCCAUCUUCCAGGCCCGGGACCCAGGCCAGCGUUGUGGUCCUCUGGUCGUCCCGCCUCGGCCUGACUCUGUGGAGGGGGAGAAGGAGAACCAGGAGAAUGUAAGUCUGGAUCCCCUGCCCAGGAAGGAAGGCCCAUAAGGGGACGGAUUGACCGGCAGCUACCCCUCCCAGCCAGGACCAGAGCCCAGACGAUCCCACCCUGCUAGAGGAAGACCAGAGCAUCUUCACACCUGAGAUGUUUGAUGAUGAAGAGGAUGUGGACCAAGCCUCUCCCCAGGACAGUGCAUUGGACGAUGACAGGGGAGGGAACUGUGCUUGCGGCCAGCCUUGCUCUAUCUACCGGAACAGCCCAGGCUGUGUCUGAGGACCUGUUUGGCCCAGAGCAGGGGCACAGGAACGGUCAUUACCACUGAUACCCAGAGGGGCGGCGCUCUUGCUCCCUCAGCUAGUAGAGACUGUCAGUGUGAGAUGGGAACAGGACAGGCAGCGAGAGUGGUGACAAGGCCCAACAGCAAGAGACCCAGAGAAAGGAGGACCAAGGUCAGGGAGAAGGACAGGAGGUGAACCAGACCCAGGGGCAGGGUCAGACCCAGGGGGGACCCAGGGCCAGAACAGGCAGCAGGACACGCAGGCUGUCCAGGUCCAGACAGAAAGCAUCCUAAACUAACCAGCUAAUUCUCUGUUGUCCCUCAGGUUAUAUCCAUAGAUGACUAGACACCAGUUUAUAACUGUAGAUGACUAGGCACAAGGGCCUGUAUUCAGAGGCUCAGUAGGAGUGCUGAUCUAGAAUCAGUGCUUCUUUUUAAAUCAUUAUUAAAAUGAUAUGGACAGGGGAGACAUGAUCCUAGAUCAGCAUUCGAACUGAAACUCUUUAUAAACACGGCCCAGGUUCCAGGUUAUAACCAUAGACUAUAGACAAUUAGACAGACACCAAGACGCUCAGUAAAGCCAGUUCUCAGAUCAUCAUGCCUCAUUAUUUAGCGUGACAGCAUGGCUGGGUCGUCUCGUCUAACCGACAUUAUCUGUUUAAACAGUCUGGAGCUAACGAACGUUGCACAAAUUGCGAUGUUAAAUCUUUAUUUUCCUGUAAACGCGAUGGAAGCAUUGUCCCGUUAUGUGUUUUAAUGAGAUGUGUUAUUUGGAGUGAGGAGAGGAGUGGGGGGUGAGGCAGCAUGUCUGACUUCACACAGAUAGAACUCUUCCGUUUUUACCCCAAAAUUACUGUACAAUCCUAUGAUAAAGUAAUUGUCUGAUGUAAACUAGAGAGGGGAGGUGUGGUGUGGGAUGUGUAUCGUGUGUUUAAUGACUUGGGGAAACACACAAAGGCCUUUCCAGCAACACAAGAAACCUCAGAAACCCCAUCAUCCAUUUUGAGAACAGCUCCAGGGUGACUAUAUAUCAGUAAAUAUAAAUAAUUGUGAUAUGGAAAAUUGAUUAAUAAAAUCAUGUUUGCUGGUU